rnacentral:rRNA from 1 species
UACGGAGGUGGCAAGCGUUGUUCGGAAUUACUGGGCGUAAAGGGCGCGUAGGCGGCUAGGCAAGUCAGAUGUGAAAGCCCCGGGCUUAACUCGGGAAUUGCAUCUGAAACUGCUGGGCUUGAGUUCUGGAGGGGGUAGUGGAAUUCCCAGUGUAGAGGUGAAAUUCGUAGAUAUUCGCAAGAACACCAGUGGCGAAGGCGGCUCACUGGCCCGAUACUGACGCUGAGGCACGAAAGCGUGGGGAGCAAACAGG